rnacentral:rRNA from 1 species
ACACUCCUACGGGAGGCAGCAGUGGGGAAUAUUGGACAAUGGGCGCAAGCCUGAUCCAGCCAUGCCGCGUGAGUGAUGAAGGCCCUAGGGUUGUAAAGCUCUUUCACCGGUGAAGAUAAUGACGGUAACCGGAGAAGAAGCCCCGGCUAACUUCGUGCCAGCAGCCGCGGUAAUACGAAGGGGGCUAGCGUUGUUCGGAUUUACUGGGCGUAAAGCGCACGUAGGCGGACUAUUAAGUCAGGGGUGAAAUCCCGGGGCUCAACCCCGGAACUGCCUUUGAUACUGGUAGUCUAGAGUUCGAGAGAGGUGAGUGGAAUUCCGAGUGCAGAGGUGAAAUUCGUAGAUAUUCGGAGGAACACCAGUGGCGAAGGCGGCUCACUGGCUCGAUACUGACGCUGAGGUGCGAAAGCGUGGGGAGCAAACAGGAUUAGAUACCCCUGUAGUCCC